GCAGCCUACUCGCCGUGACACAGCGCCUGUCAUCGGUCGGGGAGUGAAGAGACUUCCGUUUCCUGCGAACUGUGAACUGUGCCUCUGCGCCAGCACUAUGAGAACUGUGUCGACAAGUGUAUACGAGCUUGUGUUUUCUAGUGAGUGUAGUGACGCCACAGUACGGCCAUUCUCAACUUGCAUCAGUUCGCCACUCAGUAACUGUGGCUCAUUUAGUAUGUUCUGAACCGCAAGCCAACACGUGCAGUUUCGUAGCUAAAGCUGAAUCAGGCGAGCAAAGAUCCAGUGCUCAGCUAGGGCGUGCAACAGCCAUUGCCAAAGUUGCCUCCAGCAGCACGGUCAUCUUUACAGUGGGAGACGGCCAUGGACGUCAACCUGGCGUCGCCGCCAGCGUCGCAGUCAUGCUGGCAGCUGGCAGCCCAGGAUGCAGCCAGCAACAGGGUCGCGCCUGGUCGCCUAGCCGCACACCCCGGAGGGCCCAAACGUCAUCUCCAGUGGUCCACCUGUCGCAUCGUCUUCCUCUGCGCCUACGGCCACUGAUGCAUACCCUGUGGUUGGUUUCCCACUUGGCAUUUCCAGCCAUGUGCAGGGUAGUUACUAGGAGUCGCAGUACAUCAGCAUUGACAUAAUCGGCAUGGAAAUAAGAUGUUAUACUCGUACGUGCGGCCUUGUCUACACCGGCUCAUGCAGCAGCUGCUGACCGUGUGCUCAUCCGACUCCACCCAGUCCACGACUGCUGUAGUUAGUCCGAAACAGUUUACUCGGUUCUAUUGUUGCCGCGUGAAGGUGCACGUAGUGCUUCGUCUGUAGUACAUAAGUUAAUGAAAAAGUGUAAACAUUGUGUGACA